rnacentral:rRNA from 1 species
CCUACGGGUGGCAGCAGUGGGGAAUAUUGGGCAAUGGGCGCAAGCCUGACCCAGCAACGCCGCGUGAAGGAAGAAGGCUUUCGGGUUGUAAACUUCUUUUCUCAGGGACGAAGAAAGUGACGGUACCUGCGGAAUAAGCCACGGCUAACUACGUGCCAGCAGCCGCGGUAAUACGGAGGUGGCAAUCGUUAUCCGGAUUUAUUGGGUGUAAAGGGCGUGUAGGCGGGAGCGCAAGUCAGAUGUGAAAACUCAGGGCUCAACCCUGAGCCUGCAUUUUAAACUGUGUUUCUUGAGUGCUGUUGCGGCAAGCGGAAUGCAGGGUGUAGCGGUGAAAUGCGUAGAGAUAAUGAGGAACACCAGUGGCGAAGGCAGAUUGCUGGACAGUAACUGACGCUGAGGCGCGAAAGCGUGGGGAGCAAACAGGAUUAGAUACCCUAGUAGUC